AAGCGGUGAGCAUGUGGUUUAAUUCGAAGCAACGCGCAGAACCUUCAACCCUUGACAUCGAGAUCGCGGUUUCCAGAGAUGGAUUCCUUCAGUUCGGCUGGAUCUUAGACAGGUGUUGCAUGGCUGUCGUCAGCUCGUGUCGUGAGAUGUUGGGUUAAGUCCCGCAACGAGCGCAACCCUCGCCUUUAGUUGCCAUCAUUAAGUUGGGCACUCUAGAGGGACUGCCGGUGAUAAGCCGGAGGAAGGUGGGGAUGACGUCAAGUCCUCAUGGCCCUUAUGGGUUGGGCUACACACGUGCUACAAUGGCGGCGACAAUGGGCAGCGAAGGGGCGACCCGGUGCAAAUCCCAAAAAGCCGUCUCAGUUCGGAUUGCACUCUGCAACUCGAGUGCAUGAAGGUGGAAUCGCUAGUAAUCGCGUAACAGCAUGACGCGGUGAAUACGUUCCCGGGCCUU
rnacentral:rRNA from 1 species